GGUCCGCUGGCUCAAUGGCAGAGCGUCUGACUACGAUUCCUUCUCUGAGGAUCUCAGAGUUGGUCGGGUAAUCAGGAGGUUCCAGGUUCGACCCCUGGGUGGAUCG